rnacentral:rRNA from 1 species
GUUAACGAGGCGAACCGGGGGAACUGAAACAUCUAAGUACCCCGAGGAAAAGAAAUCAACCGAGAUUCCCCCAGUAGCGGCGAGCGAACGGGGAGCAGCCCAGAGUCUGAAUCAGCUUGUGUGUUAGUGGAACGGUCUGGAAAGUCCGACGGUACAGGGUGAUAGUCCCGUACACCAAAAUGCACAGGCUGUGAACUCGAAGAGUAGGGCGGGACACGUGGUAUCCUGUCUGAAUAUGGGGGGACCAUCCUCCAAGGCUAAAUACUCCUGACUGACCGAUAGUGAACCAGUACCGUGAGGGAAAGGCGAAAAGAACCCCGGCGAGGGGAGUGAAAAAGAACCUGAAACCGUGUACGUACAAGCAGUGGGAGCACCUUCGGGUGUGACUGCGUACCUUUUGUAUAAUGGGUCAGCGACUUAUAUUCUGUAGCAAGGUUAACCGUAUAGGGGAGCCGCAGGGAAACCGAGUCUUAACUGGGCGUUAAGUUGCAGGGUAUAGACCCGAAACCCGGUGAUCUAGCCAUGGGCAGGUUGAAGGUUGGGUAACACUAACUGGAGGACCGAACCGACUAAUGUUGAAAAAUUAGCGGAUGACUUGUGGCUGGGGGUGAAAGGCCAAUCAAACCGGGAGAUAGCUGGUUCUCCCCGAAAGCUAUUUAGGUAGCGCCUCGUGAACUCAUCUUCGGGGGUAGAGCACUGUUUCGGCUAGGGGGUCAUCCCGACUUACCAACCCGAUGCAAACUACGAAUACCGAAGAAUGUUAUCACGGGAGACACACGGCGGGUGCUAACGUCCGUCGUGAAGAGGGAAACAACCCAGACCGCCAGCUAAGGUCCCAAAGUCAUGGUUAAGUGGGAAACGAUGUGGGAAGGCACAGACAGCCAGGAUGUUGGCUUAGAAGCAGCCAUCAUUUAAAGAAAGCGUAAUAGCUCACUGGUCGAGUCGGCCUGCGCGGAAGAUGUAACGGGGCUAAACCAUGCACCGAAGCUGCGGCAGCGACACGAUGUGUUGUUGGGUAGGGGAGCGUUCUGUAAGCCUGCGAAGGUGACCUGUGAGGGUUGCUGGAGGUAUCAGAAGUGCGAAUGCUGACAUAAGUAACGAUAAAGCGGGUGAAAAGCCCGCUCGCCGGAAGACCAAGGGUUCCUGUCCAACGUUAAUCGGGGCAGGGUGAGUCGACCCCUAAGGCGAGGCCGAAAGGCGUAGUCGAUGGGAAACAGGUUAAUAUUCCUGUACUUGGUGUUACUGCGAAGGGGGGACGGAGAAGGCUAUGUUAGCCGGGCGACGGUUGUCCCGGUUUAAGCAUGUAGGCUGGUUAUCCAGGCAAAUCCGGAUAAUCAAGGCUGAGGUGUGAUGACGAAGCACUACGGUGCUGAAGUAACAAAUGCCCUGCUUCCAGGAAAAGCCUCUAAGCAUCAGGUAACAUCAAAUCGUACCCCAAACCGACACAGGUGGUCAGGUAGAGAAUACCAAGGCGCUUGAGAGAACUCGGGUGAAGGAACUAGGCAAAAUGGUGCCGUAACUUCGGGAGAAGGCACGCUGGUGUGUAGGUGAAGCCCCUGCGGGUGGAGCUGAGACCAGUCGAAGAUACCAGCUGGCUGCAACUGUUUAUUAAAAACACAGCACUGUGCAAACACGAAAGUGGACGUAUACGGUGUGACGCCUGCCCGGUGCCGGAAGGUUAAUUGAUGGGGUUAUCCGUAAGGAGAAGCUCUUGAUCGAAGCCCCGGUAAACGGCGGCCGUAACUAUAACGGUCCUAAGGUAGCGAAAUUCCUUGUCGGGUAAGUUCCGACCUGCACGAAUGGCGUAAUGAUGGCCAGGCUGUCUCCACCCGAGACUCAGUGAAAUUGAACUCGCUGUGAAGAUGCAGUGUACCCGCGGCAAGACGGAAAGACCCCGUGAACCUUUACUAUAGCUUGACACUGAACAUUGAGCCUUGAUGUGUAGGAUAGGUGGGAGGCUUUGAAGCGUGGACGCCAGUCUGCGUGGAGCCAACCUUGAAAUACCACCCUUUAAUGUUUGAUGUUCUAACGUUGGCCCCUUAUCGGGGUUGCGGACAGUGUCUGGUGGGUAGUUUGACUGGGGCGGUCUCCUCCCAAAGCGUAACGGAGGAGCACGAAGGUUAGCUAAUCCUGGUCGGACAUCAGGAGGUUAGUGCAAUGGCAUAAGCUAGCUUGACUGCGAGCGUGACGGCGCGAGCAGGUGCGAAAGCAGGUCAUAGUGAUCCGGUGGUUCUGAAUGGAAGGGCCAUCGCUCAACGGAUAAAAGGUACUCCGGGGAUAACAGGCUGAUACCGCCCAAGAGUUCAUAUCGACGGCGGUGUUUGGCACCUCGAUGUCGGCUCAUCACAUCCUGGGGCUGAAGUAGGUCCCAAGGGUAUGGCUGUUCGCCAUUUAAAGUGGUACGCGAGCUGGGUUUAGAACGUCGUGAGACAGUUCGGUCCCUAUCUGCCGUGGGCGCUGGAGAAUUGAGGGGGGCUGCUCCUAGUACGAGAGGACCGGAGUGGACGCAUCACUGGUGUUCGGGUUGUCAUGCCAAUGGCACUGCCCGGUAGCUAAAUGCGGAAGAGAUAAGUGCUGAAAGCAUCUAAGCACGAAACUUGCCCCGAGAUGAGUUCU